rnacentral:rRNA from 1 species
GUAGGUGGCAAGCGUUGUCCGGGAAUUAUUGGGCGUAAAGCGCGCGCAGGUGGUUCCUUAAGGUCUGAUGUGAAAGCCCCCGGGCUCAACCGGGGGAGGGUCAUUGGAAACUGGGGAACUUGAGUGCAGGAGAGGAAAGUGGAAUUCCACGUGUAGCGGUGAAAUGCGUAGAUAUGUGGAGGAACACCAGUGGCGAAGGCGACUUUCUGGCCUGUAACUGACACUGAGGCGCGAAAGCGUGGGGAGCAAACAGGAUUAGAUACCCUGGUAGUCCACGCCGUAAACGAUGAGUGCUAAGUGUUGGGGGGUUUCCGCCCCUCAGUGCUGCAGCUAACGCAUUAAGCACUCCGCCUGGGGAGUACGGUCGCAAAGACUGA